rnacentral:rRNA from 1 species
UACGUAGGGGGGCUAGCGUUGUCCGGAAUCAUUGGGCGUAAAGCGCGCGUAGGCGGUCCGGUAAGUCCGCUGUGAAAGUCGGGGGCUCAACCCUCGGAUGCCGGUGGAUACUGUCGGGCUUGAGUACGGAAGAGGCGAGUGGAAUUCCUGGUGUAGCGGUGAAAUGCGCAGAUAUCAGGAGGAACACCAAUUGCGAAGGCAGCUCGCUGGGACGUUACUGACGCUGAGACGCGAAAGCGUGGGGAGCAAACAGG